GUCCAGGGACCGCAAGCCGCCAGAUGGCUGCAUUCUUUACGCGUAAACCAGACUGCGGGGAAACGAAAUCCACUCCUUCCUCCCGGGGACCUGGCUUCCUCCCCUACGAAGCCAGAUAAGAUCCAUCUCUAAACCAGGCCAGUUUGAGGUGCAUAGAGUGAUUGAAACCAGCCGGCUGAAGGAGGGAAGCUUCGUGGAAAGGAUCCCGGUGCAGAGUUCUAUCCUGAACACCAGACCUCUGUGUAGGGCUUGGGCUUUCAGAAGAACCUGGUGUACCAGGCAGCCGAGAAGGAAGAGAAGCCGGUGGAGUGAAGGAGCGAAAAGUGUCUAGAAUAAUCUGGGAUGCUCGUCCUCUCUUCCGCACAGUCUCAGGCUGCAUCUCUGUGACCAGGUCUCGCUGGGAGGUCUGUCUUCUAUUACACUCAACGUGUGCCCUCUCGGUUCCUGACUUACUUGCUCAGACUAACUUUGGUGUUCAUUAGAAAGUGUAUUUCCCCCUGCAUUGACAGCGGCCCCGUUACUGGGAUGGAAAGAGGAGGAACAUAAUAAUCUAACCUCCAAAGAAGGCU